CCUACGGGAGCUGCAGUGGGGAAUAUUGGACAAUGGGCGAAAGCCUGAUCCAGCCAUGCCGCGUGUGUGAAGAAGGCCUUCGGGUUGUAAAGCACUUUCAGUGGGGAAGAAAGCCUUGGGGCUAAUACCCUCGAGGAAGGACAUCACCCACAGAAGAAGCACCGGCUAACUCCGUGCCAGCAGCCGCGGUAAUACGGAGGGUGCGAGCGUUAAUCGGAAUUACUGGGCGUAAAGCGCGCGUAGGCGGUCUGAUAAGCCGGUUGUGAAAGCCCCGGGCUCAACCUGGGAACGGCAUCCGGAACUGUCAGGCUAGAGUGCAGGAGAGGAAGGUAGAAUUCCCGGUGUAGCGGUGAAAUGCGUAGAGAUCGGGAGGAAUACCAGUGGCGAAGGCGGCCUUCUGGACUGACACUGAUGCUGAGGUGCGAAAGCGUGGGUAGCAAACAGGAUUAGAUACCCUGGUAGUC
rnacentral:rRNA from 1 species